GAUCAUGGCUCAGGAUGAACGCUGGCGGCGUGCUUAACACAUGCAAGUCGAACGAAGCACUUAAGAUUGAUUCUUCGGAUGAAGUCUUUUGUGACUGAGUGGCGGACGGGUGAGUAACGCGUGGGUAACCUGCCUCAUACAGGGGGAUAACAGUUAGAAAUGACUGCUAAUACCGCAUAAGACCACGGAGCCGCAUGGCUCAGUGGGAAAAACUCCGGUGGUAUGAGAUGGACCCG
rnacentral:rRNA from 1 species